rnacentral:rRNA from 1 species
UGGGGAAUCUUGCACAAUGGGGGCAACCCUGAUGCAGCGACGCCGCGUGAGCGAUGAAGCCCUUCGGGGCGUAAAGCUCUUUCGACCGGAACGAUAAUGACGGUACCGGGAGAAGAAGCUGCGGCUAACUACGUGCCAGCAGCCGCGGUAAUACGUAGGCAGCAAGCGUUGUUCGGAGUUACUGGGCGUAAAGAGUGCGUAGGCGGUUUUCUAAGUUCGGUGUGAAAUCUCCCGUCUUAACUGGGAGGGUGCGCCGAAGACUGGGAAGCUGGAGUGUGGGAAAGGCAGGCGGAAUUCCUGGUGCAGCGGUGAAAUGCGUAGAUAUCAGGAGGAACACCGGCGGUGUAGACGGCUUGCUAGACCAUAACUGACGCUGAGGCACGAAAGCGUGGGUAGCAAACA